rnacentral:rRNA from 1 species
GUGCAGCAGGCGCGAAACCUCCGCAAUACACGAAAGUGUGACGGGGUUACCCAAAGUGUCCAAAUUUGGACUGUGGUAGGUGAGUAAUGUCCCCUACUAGAAAGGAGAGGGCAAGGCUGGUGCCAGCCGCCGCGGUAAAACCAGCUCUUCAAGUGGUCGGGAUAAUUAUUGGGCUUAAAGUGUCCGUAGCCGGUUUAGUAAGUUCCUGGUAAAAUCGGGUAGCUUAACUAUCUGUAUGCUAGGAAUACUGCUAUACUAGAGGGCGGGAGAGGUCUGAGGUACUACAGGGGUAGGGGUGAAAUCCUGUAAUCCUUGUAGGACCACCAGUGGCGAAGGCGUCAGACUGGAACGCGCCUGACGGUGAGGGACGAAAGCCAGGGGAGCGAACCGGAUUAGAUA